rnacentral:rRNA from 1 species
AACGAACGUUGGCGGCGUGGAUUAGGCAUGCAAGUCGCGGGAAUCCCAGCAAUGGGGGAACCGGCGUAAGGGGCAGUAAGGCAUGGGUACCUACCCUGGGGUCCGGCAUAGCCGUCAGAGAUGGCGGGUAAUUCCGGAUGAUGUCGUGAGACCAAAGGUCCGCCGCCCUGGGAGGGGCCCAUGUGAUAUUAGCUAGUUGGUGAGGUAACGGCUCACCAAGGCGAAGAUGUCUAGCGGGUGUGAGAGCACGACCCGCGCCACUGGCACUGAGACACUGGCCAGACACCUACGGGUGGCUGCAGUCGAGGAUCUUCGGCAAUGGGCGCAAGCCUGACCGAGCGACGCCGCGUGUGCGAUGAAGGCCUUCGGGUUGUAAAGCACUGUCGAGAGGGAGAAAAGCGAAAGCUUGAUCUAUCUCUGGAGGAAGCACGGGCUAAGUUCGUGCCAGCCGCCGCGGUAACAC